GAUGAACGCUAGCUACAGGCUUAACACAUGCAAGUCGAGGGCAGCAUGGUCUUAGCUUGCUAAGGCCGAUGGCGACCGGCGCACGGGUGAGUAACACGUAUCCAACCUGCCGUCUACUCUUGGACAGCCUUCUGAAAGGAAGAUUAAUACAAGAUGGCAUCAUGAGUUCACAUGUUCACAUGAUUAAAGGUAUUCCGGUAGACGAUGGGGAUGCGUUCCAUUAGAUAGUAGGCGGGGUAACGGCCCACCUAGUCUUCGAUGGAUAGGGGUUCUGAGAGGAAGGUUCCCCCCACAUUGGAACUGAGACACGGUCCAAACUCCUACGGGAGGCAGCAGUGAGGAAUAUUGGUCAAUGGGCGCAGGCCUGAACCAGCCAAGUAGCGUGAAGGAUGACUGCCCUAUGGGUUGUAAACUUCUUUUUAAUAAAGGAAUAAAGUCGGGUAUGUAUACCCGUUUGCAUGUACUUUAUGAAUAAGGAU
rnacentral:rRNA from 1 species